GGUCGAUUAGUGUAGCUGGUUAUCACAUCGGAUUCUGAUUCUUCGUCACGCAUUCCGGUAACCGGGGUUCGAAUCCCCGAUUGACCU